rnacentral:rRNA from 1 species
ACUCCGGAAUUGCCUUUGAAACUGUUAGGCUCGAGUACGGGAGAGGUGAGUGGAAUUCCCAGUGUAGAGGUGAAAUUCGUAGAUAUUGGGAAGAACACCGGUGGCGAAGGCGGCUCACUGGCCCGUUUCUGACGCUCAUGCGCGACAGCGUGGGGAUCAAACAGGAUUAGAUACCCUGGUAGUCCACGCCGUAAACGAUGGAUGCUAGCCGUUGGGCAGCUUGCUGUUCAGUGGCGCAGCUAACGCAUUAAGCAUCCCGCCUGGGGAGUACGGCCGCAAGGUUGAAACUCAAAGGAAUUGACGGGGGCCCGCACAAGCGGUGGAGCAUGUGGUUUAAUUCGACGCAACGCGCAGAACCUUACCAGGGUUUGACAUCCUGUGCUCACUCCAGAGAUGGAGUUUCC